rnacentral:lncRNA from 1 species
CCACAUCCUAGAGUUUCUUACCUUAGAAUCAUUUGUUUAUUUAUCUAUAUUUCCUAUAACUGUCUUCAAAUUUUAAACCGUGUUAAAGAUAAAUCUAGUUUGUUAAUUGAUUUAUCUCAAUUACCUAGGAAACAACUGGCACUAUAGUUAAGGUUCAACAAAUAUUUGUGGAGAGAAUGAAAUUUUACUGUAACAAUGAAGAAAAAAUCGAGUUUUGAAGAUUGACUUUUGAGAUAUUUAAAUGAACUUAUGCCACAGAAAGUCAAGAAUAUGAAUCAGGAUUUGUAGACUAUGCCCAAAUUCGAAAUGUAGGCUAAAAUAUUUGGCACCCUGAAGAUAAAUGAAGUAAGGACCAAGAAGAUGGCUUCCGUUGGAAAAUGGUCAUUAAAAGAGGAAAACGAGUCACACUGUCUUAGGAUCAUUGAACAAAAGGCCCUUUUCUCCUUUUUGGAAAAUCCCUGUACAAGACCAAGAAACACUGGUGCUUUCUGCAAGAUGGCUAAGGAGUAUUAUACUCAAUCCUGUAAUUUCUUUACCAACUGGCAAAUAUCCAUGGUUUCAGCUAAGUUACUUGAAUAAUAAAAUAAUAAGC